rnacentral:lncRNA from 1 species
UAAAAAGGAAUCAAUUCAUUAAUUAAAAGCCAUACGGCAUCUACAAACACAAUCGAAAUUGGACAGACGCUGAAAAAUAUCGCUGUUGAAUCCUUCCUUCUUGGAGAGGCAACUGAGCGAUUUGAAGAUGAUUUGAAUAUACACACUUGUUUCCAUCUGAUUGGUUUUCACCUGAGUGUUCUGAACAAUCGACCAUAGAUGUGAUCCCAUGAUAACCUUCAAAUCUGAAUCAAACCCAUGAAAAUCAUGCCGAUCUAUAACCUCGGUCAUGAAAAACAUCAAAACACACCAAACACAAAACAAACCAACUCUCACAAGAAGGAGAGACUAACAAAACCCAAAUAAAUU